UGAGGAGGAGGGGUGGGAUGGGAUGGUGACUCUUGACGCACGAGGGGAGGACAAACACAGAGCUGGUGUUUUGGGAGAAGCUGCUUCAUCCCCUCCUCUGCCUCCUACCAGCUGGGCUCUGUCCCCUCCAGGAAGGGGGAGCUCUGAAGGUUUGACACAUCAAUGAAAGGCAACCAGGGAAGGUCAUACCCAGCCAAAACUCAUCCUCCAGGUUUCCAAAGCCAACCCGGUAAUCUGCCCAUUUCCGGAAGAAAUCGGUCAGCCCGUUCUGCCGCCGCUGGAAGACCUGAUGUGGAGGGAGAGCAGGGGGAAAACCAUAAUGAUGGAGAUGAGAAACAGCUUUGCCAGGCUUUGGACACACAAGUACUCAUUCCAGGGGGAUUCUCCUGAUUCUCCAUGCCCUUGGAAAUGAUGGUGGACUUAUGCUGAGCUAAUUGUCCCUUGCAAGCUGAGCAGGAAUGAGGCCGUGUGAGAUGCUAGAGACAAGUCCUUGUUCUCUGCAAAGUGCCUUGAUGCAUUGCCAGAGUAAACUGAAUUGCAGACCUGGAUGCUUUGAUGAGAAAUGCUGUCCAUGGAUUGCAUUGCCUUGGUGGUAGCUCCUGGUUGCUUCUGUCUCAUCACUAUUGGGCCUGCAGGUGUCUGGGUGGAUGCAGAGAGAGGCCUCACCUGUGGUGAAGGUGGUGGAGACGAGGCCGCUGCGCAUGGCGUUCUGGGCAGCCUGCAGGUGCACCGUGUACUCCGUGGUCUCUGAGAGCCCCUCCAGACGGAUCCACGUGUCCUCUGCAUCCACUAUCAGCUCCUGUACAUGGGUCCCAGAAGGAGGCAGACACCAAGAGCAACAGAUGAGAAAAGCGAUGGGGAGCCUAAAGAGCAAGUGAGGAGGGAAGGGAAGCCACAAACUACUGCAGCCUGGCUGAGGAGCACUGCAUGAUUGCUUAGAGCCCUGCACUGCAUGAUUGCUUAGAGCCCUGCACUGCGUGAUUGCUUAAAGCCCUGGACUGCAUGAUUGCUUAAAGCCCUGGACUGCAUGAUUGCUUAAAGCCCUGGACUGCAUGAUUGCUUAGAGCCCUGCACUGCAUGAUUGCUUAGAGCCCUGCACUGCGUGAUUGCUUAGAGCCCUGGACUGGGAGAAUGUGAGUUCAGCCAAUAUAGCCAACCUUUCAGAAUUGUUUGGGUGGGGGAAAGCAACCUAGUUUGGAGACGGAUUUAAAUGUUUGCAGUCUGUGUCCUCUGUCAGAUGGGUCUGUUGGGACCCGUGUGCCUUCAGUACAAGACAUGACUGAUUGCCCAAGCAGUGCAAGAAAUUGAGCUGGCCAAGCCUGGUUAUCAGCCAGUUUUGACUGUUGAUUCCUGUCAUGUUCAUUUUUCUGGUUUUUGGCCGGUGCCACACAGCAUUAUUGGACCCCUUUUGCAAAGCUAUUCUCCUCUGGCUGCUGUGAGCCAAUCACACCAGCAAAGGAAAUCAGACUGUUUGCCAUUGACAGUGUUUCUGACAGUGUUUGUUGCAGCUCCACCUGACAGG